GAUCAAGUUUAACAAGGAGCUGUUGCUGCCUUUAGUGCUUGAAUUUAUACUGUGACAGUGCUGCCAUGUUUAACUCCUAUCCAUAUCUGGGAAUGCUGUGCAGAGCUUUCCAAAGUCCAGGAAGGGAGAGUGCAGAGGCAAACCAGUGAAGAGGCGACAUUCCACUGAUGCACUGUUGGACCUGAUCUUCGAGGAUUUCCAUGACCCUGACCCAUAUGUGAACAAGGUGCUGAAACUCAUAAUCCCUGAAGACCUCUCGGCUCAGUAUGAUCCGAC